CCUACGUGUGGCAGCAGUGAGGAAUAUUGGUCAAUGGGCGGGAGCCUGAACCAGCCAAGUCGCGUGAGGGAAGACGGUCCUAUGGAUUGUAAACCUCUUUAGGCGGGGAGCAAUGCCGGGCACGCGUGCCCGGAGGUAGAGUACCCGCAGAAUAAGCAUCGGCUAACUCCGUGCCAGCAGCCGCGGUAAUACGGAGGAUGCGGGCGUUAUCCGGAGUUAUUGGGUUUAAAGGGUGCGUAGGCGGAUUUUUAAGUCAGCGGUAAAAUGUCGGGGCUCAACCCGGGCCGGCCGUUGAACCUGGGGAGCUUGAGUGGGCGAGAAGUAUGCGGAAUGCGUGGUGUAGCGGUGAAAUGCAUAGAUAUCACGAAGAACACCGAUGGCGAAGGCAGCAUACCGGCGCCCGACUGACGCUGAGGCACGAAAGCGUGGGGAUCGAACAGGAUUAGAUACCCGGGUAGUC
rnacentral:rRNA from 1 species